ensembl:rRNA 5S_rRNA 5S ribosomal RNA
GACAUUUGGUAGAGACUGUUGAAGCCACCUGGUCCCACCAGACCCUGGAAGGCGGCCACAUUCGCUGGUGCUGGGGCAACGUUGUUGAGGGUGAAGCCUGGUGCCAGAUGUGU